CAUCUGAAAUGAAGUAGGACCACCCGCUGAACUUAAGCAUAUCAUUAAGCGGAGGAAAAGAAACUAACAAGGAUUCCCCUAGUACGGGCGACGGAACCGGGAAAAGCCCACACUGCUAAUCUGCGGCCUUUGGGUCGUCGAAUUGUAAUCUGAAGAUUGCUAGCCUAAUUGGGCCCGGCGCUUAAGUGCGCACGAGAGCGCUGCCAGAGAGGGUGAGAGCCCCGUCCGGCGCUGGGCCCUACCC
rnacentral:rRNA from 1 species